rnacentral:lncRNA from 1 species
CAGCCCUUGACAGUCUGAUCCAAUUGCUUGGAAAAAUAAGUUACCGGCUAGGGGGUCAUACCCAGUUUUUGAGUUAAAACCCCCAAGCUUAUUCCCUGCCUUUCAUGUUGGUACAUAUUAAGGGCUUGUCCAAGUGAGGAAGUCCUAAGGCUGGGGCUGAAAUUAAAUUUGUCUUGAUGGUAUCAAAGGCCACCUGAGACUUCUUCGCCCAUUCUAGUGGCUCCUGCUCUAGCCCUUUUAGAGCCUUAUAGAUGGGCUUUACUUUGAGACCAUAGUUAGGAAUCCAGAUCCGACAGAAACCAGCCAUGCCCAAGAAUCUUCGUAGUUGUUGCUGGGUGGUGGGAGCGCUUAGGCACCUUAUAGAUUUUUUUUGGUCUGGCAGCAGUUCCUUUUGGCUUUGAUUUUUGAGGAAGACUGGCCCUGAGCUAACAUCUGUGCCCAUCGUCCUCUGCUUUAUAUGUGGGACACCUGCCACAGCAUGGCUUGACAAGUAGUGUGUAGGUCUGCACCGGGGAUCCGAACUGGUGAAUCCCAGGCCACCAAAGUGGAACGGGCGAACUGAACUGCUGCGCCACCGGACGGGCCCCCCCUUUGGGCUUUUGAUAAGGCGAUGGGGAUCCCCUGAAGAAUUGCAGGGAGUUCUGAUAUGUUUUCCAAACUGGAGCCAGAGCACCGGGAAAAGACCAUGUGGGGACACAGUGAGAAGAUGGCCGUCUACAAGCCAAGGAGAGAGGUCUCAGGAGAAACCAGACCUUCCAACACCCUGACCUCUGACUUCCAGCCUCUAGAACUGUGAGAAAUAAAUUUCUGUGGUUUAAGCCACCCAAUCUGUGAUAUUUUUGUUGCGGCAGCCCUAGCAGAUGAAGACAGGGCCUUUGUUUACGCACUUGCUUGAAAUUUGCUUUUCUAGAGUCUUUGUCAGUUGCAUUCCUAGGGAGACUCGAAGACGUUCUACCAAAUGCCUGCUGCUCAUUUACUACCUAGGGAUGGUUCCUGGCUCCGCAUCGGGUGGUGAUUCUGCCAGCGCCGCUGUUCUGUGCUGAGCCUUCGGUGCUCUGCUCCUUCCUGCUGUCUUCUCUCCUUUUCUGUUCACUGCUGUGCUGUCCUCGGCUGUUCCCUACCUGCAUUUUGUGACACUUUCUGUUUAUACCAUUAAAUCUG